AUUGAACGCUAGCGGGAUGCUUUACACAUGCAAGUCGAACGGCAGCGCAAGGAAGCUUGCUUUCUUGGCGGCGAGUGGCGAACGGGUGAGUAACAUAUCGGAACGUGCCCAGUAGCGGGGGGAUAACUACGCGAAAGCGUGGCUAAUACCGCAUACGCCCUAAGGGGGAAAGGGGGGGAGUCUUCGGACCUUUCACUAUUGGAGCGGCCGAUAUCGGAUUAGCUAGUUGGUGGGGUAAAGGCCUACCAAGG
rnacentral:rRNA from 1 species